rnacentral:rRNA from 1 species
AUGACCUGUGGAUAGCGGAGAAAUUCCAAUCGAACCCGGAGAUAGCUGGUUCUCCCCGAAAUAGCUUUAGGGCUAGCGUUGAGGUUAAGCGUUAUGGAGGUAGAGCACUGAAUUCAUGCGGGCGGCACCUCGCUGUACCAAUUGAAAUCAAACUCCGAAUGCCAUAAUUGUAUACUCAGCAGUCAGACUACGGGUGAUAAGGUCCGUGGUCAAAAGGGAAACAGCCCAGAUCAUCAGUUAAGGUCCCUAAAUUUAUGCUAAGUGGAAAACGAGGUGGAAUUGCGUGAACAGCUAGGAGGUUAGCUCAGAAGCAGCUAUCCUUUAAAGAGUGCGUAACAGCUCACUAGUCGAGUGAUUCUGCGCGGAAAAUUUACCGGGGCUAAGCAUAAUACCGAAACUAUGGCAAUACUUUGUAUUGGGUAGGGGAGCGUUCUAAUCAGCAUUGAAGGUAUACCGGAAGGAGUGCUGGAGCGAUUAGAAGUGAGAAUGCCGGUGUAAGUAGCGAGAAAUAUGUGAGAAUCAUAUUCACCGAUAGACCAAGGUUUCCAGGGGAAGGUUCGUCCGCCCUGGGUAAGUCGGGACCUAAGAUGAGGCCGACAGGCGUAGUCGAUGGACAACAGGUUGAUAUUCCUGUACCUGCUAUAUUAGUGAUGGAGUGACAGAUGAGGUUAUUAUGAGCCGGUUAUUGGAUUCCGGUUUAAGCUUAGGAGCAGUUGAGUAGGCAAAUCCGCUCAAUAAUGCAAAGAAGUUACGACGAGUGAACGAGCAAUCAAGUAGCGAAGUCAUAUAUGCCUUGUCUCAAGAAAAGCUUCUAAACUUAUAAUAUGGUAGCCCGUACCAAAACCGACACAGGUGGUCAAGGCGAGUAGCCUAAGGUGAGCGAGAGAAUUGUUGCCAAGGAACUCUGCAAAAUUGUCCCGUACGUUCGCAAGAAGGGACGCUCGUAAGAGCCACAGCAAAGAGGCCCAAGCAACUGUUUAUCUAAAACACAGCUCUCUGCUAAGUCGAAAGACGAUGUAUAGGGGGUGACGCCUGCCCGGUGCUGGAAGGUCAAGAGGAUUUGUUAGACGUAAGUCGAAGCUUUGAAUCGAAGCCCCAGUGAACGGCGGCCGUAACUAUAACGGUCCUAAGGUAGCGAAAUUCCUUGUCAGGUAAGUUCUGACCCGCACGAAAGGCGUAAUGAUUUGGGCGCUGUCUCGGCAGCAGACUCGGUGAAAUCUUAGUACCUGUGAAGAUGCAGGUUACCCGCAACUAGACGGAAAGACCCCAUGGAGCUUUACUAUAGCUUAAUAUUGAGUUUUGAUUAAGUAUGCACAGGAUAGGUAGGAGACUUUGAUUCGUGGGUUUUGGCUUACGAGGAGUCGUUGUUGGGAUACUACUCUUAUUUACUUGAAAUUCUAACCCGCAGGUUACAUCAACCUGGGGGACAGUGUUAGGUGGGUAGUUUGACUGGGGCGGUCGCCUCCCAAAGAGUAACGGAGGCGCUCAAAGGUACCCUCAGAUUGGUUGGAAAUCAAUCGCCGAGCGUAAUUGCAGAAGGGUGCUUGACUGCGAGACCUACAAGUCGAGCAGGGACGAAAGUCGGAAAUAGUGAUCCUGCGGUUCAGUAUGGAAUGGCCGUGGCUUAACGGAUAAAAGCUACCCUGGGGAUAACAGGCUGAUCUCGCCCAAGAGUUCACAUCGACGGCGAGGUUUGGCACCUCGAUGUCGGCUCAUCGCAUCCUGGAGCUGAAUUCGGUUCCAAGGGUUGGGCUGUUCGCCCAUUAAAGCGGUACGCGAGCUGGGUUCAGAACGUCGUGAGACAGUUCGGUCCCUAUCCGGCG